UACGUAGGGUGCAAGCGUUGUCCGGAAUUAUUGGGCGUAAAGAGCUCGUAGGUGGCCUGUCGCGUCGGCUGUGAAAACUCGGGGCUCAACUCCGAGCUUGCAGUCGAUACGGGCAGGCUAGAGUUCGGCAGGGGAGACUGGAAUUCCUGGUGUAGCGGUGAAAUGCGCAGAUAUCGGGAGGAACACCAGUAGCGAAGGCGGCACUCUGGGCCGGAACUGACGCUGAGGAGCGAAAGCGUGGGGAGCGAACAGG
rnacentral:rRNA from 1 species